rnacentral:rRNA from 1 species
UACGUAGGAUGCGAGCGUUGUCCGGAAUUAUUUGGGCGUAAAGAGAACGUAGGCGGUUUCCUAAGAUUGGUCUUAAAAGACCGGGGGCUCAACCCCCGGGGAAUGGGAUCGAUAACUGGGAGACUGGAGGAUGUCAGAGGAAAGUGGAAUUCCGAGUGUAGCGGUGAAAUGCGUAGAUAUUCGGAGGAACACCAGUGGCGAAAGGCGACUUUCUGGGGCAUUCCUGACGCGUGAGGUUCG